rnacentral:rRNA from 14 species
CAGCUCGUGUCGUGAGAUGUUGGGGUAAGUCCCGCAACGAGCGCAACCCCUGUGAGUAGUUAGAUGAUCUACUCAGACUGCCGGUCGCAAACCGGAGGAAGGUGGGGAUGAUGUCAAGUCCGCAUGGCCCUUACAUCCUGGGCGACACGCACGCUACAAUGGCCGGGACAAUGGGUAGCCAAGCCGUAAGGCGGAGCGAAUCCCAAGAAACCCGGUCUCAGUUCGGAUCGUGGGCUGCAACCCGCCCACGUGAAGCCGGAGUCGCUAGUAACCGCAGGUCAGCAGUACUGCGGUGAAUAUGUUCCCGGGCCUUGUACACACCGC